UGAAUGAUGAUACGAUGGUAUCUGAAUGAGCAAAAUUCUUGUUGAAAAACCUUCUACCAUCUGCUGCCUUCCUUCUGAUCGG
rnacentral:snoRNA from 12 species